rnacentral:rRNA from 1 species
AGCGAACGCUGGCGGCAGGCCUAACACAUGCAAGUCGAACGAACCUUUCGGGGUUAGUGGCGGACGGGUGAGUAACACGUGGGAACGUGCCUUUAGGUUCGGAAUAACUCAGGGAAACUGGGGCAAAACCGAAUGUGCCCCUCGGGGGAAAGGUUUAUCCCCUUUAGAGCGGCCCGCGGUUGUUUAGCUAGUUGGUUGUGGUAAUGGCCCACCAAGGGCACGAUCAGUAGCUGGGCUGAGAGGAUGAGCAGCCACAUUGGGGCUGAGACACGGCCCAAACUCCUACGGGAGGCAGCAGUGGGGAAUCUUGCGCAAUGGGCGAAAGCCUGACGCAGCCAUGCCGCGUGAAUGAUGAAGGUCUUAGGAUUGUAAAAUUCUUUCACCGGGGACGAUAAUGACGGUACCCGGAGAAGAAGCCCCGGCUAACUUCGUG